rnacentral:rRNA from 1 species
UGGGUAACCUGCCCAAGAGAUCGGGAUAACACCUGGAAACAGAUGCUAAUACCGGAUAACAACAGAUGAUGCCUAUCAACUGUUUAAAAGAUGGUUCUGCUAUCACUCUUGGAUGGACCUGCGGUGCAUUAGCUAGUUGGUAGGGUAACGGCCUACCAAGGCGAUGAUGCAUAGCCGAGUUGAGAGACUGAUCGGCCACAUUGGGACUUAGACACGGCCCAAACUCCUACGGGAGGCAGCAGGG